rnacentral:sRNA from 1 species
UCUCUCUCUCUCUCUCUCUCUCUCUCUGGUUCUAUCUCUCUCUCGCUCGCUCUCGCGAAGAGAGAGAGAGAGAGAGAGAGAGAGAGAGAGAGAGAGA